GGGUUGUGAGGUUAAGCGACUAAGCGUACACGGUGGAUGCCCUGGCAGUCAGAGGCGAUGAAGGACGUGCUAAUCUGCGAUAAGCGUCGGUAAGGUGAUAUGAACCGUUAUAACCGGCGAUUUCCGAAUGGGGAAACCCAGUGUGAUUCGUCACACUAUCGUUAACUGAAUACAUAGGUUAACGAAGCGAACCGGGGGAACUGAAACAUCUAAGUACCCCGAGGAAAAGAAAUCAACCGAGAUUCCCCCAGUAGCGGCGAGCGAACGGGGAGGAGCCCAGAGCCUGAAUCAGCAUGUGUGUUAGUGGAAGCGUCUGGAAAGGCGCGCGAUACAGGGUGACAGCCCCGUACACAAAAGCGCAUGUGCUGUGAGCUCGAUGAGUAGGGCGGGACACGUGGUAUCCUGUCUGAAUAUGGGGGGACCAUCCUCCAAGGCUAAAUACUCCUGACUGACCGAUAGUGAACCAGUACCGUGAGGGAAAGGCGAAAAGAACCCCGGCGAGGGGAGUGAAAAAGAACCUGAAACCGUGUACGUACAAGCAGUGGGAGCCCCACCACCAAAGCAUUCUCUGGUGUUGAAGGCCCUGCAAAGCAGCAUCGCGGUGGCGGAGCGUCGUUUGCGACGCCCAACACACAAAACAAGCGGUGAGUGCUUUGGGGUGGGGUGACUGCGUACCUUUUGUAUAAUGGGUCAGCGACUUAUAUUCUGUAGCAAGGUUAACCGUAUAGGGGAGCCGAAGGGAAACCGAGUCUUAACUGGGCGUUAAGUUGCAGGGUAUAGACCCGAAACCCGGUGAUCUAGCCAUGGGCAGGUUGAAGGUUGGGUAACACUAACUGGAGGACCGAACCGACUAAUGUUGAAAAAUUAGCGGAUGACUUGUGGCUGGGGGUGAAAGGCCAAUCAAACCGGGAGAUAGCUGGUUCUCCCCGAAAGCUAUUUAGGUAGCGCCUCGUGAACUCAUCUUCGGGGGUAGAGCACUGUUUCGGCUAGGGGGUCAUCCCGACUUACCAACCCGAUGCAAACUGCGAAUACCGAAGAAUGUUAUCACGGGAGACACACGGCGGGUGCUAACGUCCGUCGUGAAGAGGGAAACAACCCAGACCGCCAGCUAAGGUCCCAAAGUCACAGUUAAGUGGGAAACGAUGUGGGAAGGCUCAGACAGCCAGGAUGUUGGCUUAGAAGCAGCCAUCAUUUAAAGAAAGCGUAAUAGCUCACUGGUCGAGUCGGCCUGCGCGGAAGAUGUAACGGGGCUAAACUGUGCACCGAAGCUGCGGCAGCGACGCUUAUGCGUUGUUGGGUAGGGGAGCGUUCUGUAAGCCUGCGAAGGUGUCCUGUGAGGGAUGCUGGAGGUAUCAGAAGUGCGAAUGCUGACAUAAGUAACGAUAAUGCGGGUGAAAAGCCCGCUCGCCGGAAGACCAAGGGUUCCUGUCCAACGUUAAUCGGGGCAGGGUGAGUCGACCCCUAAGGCGAGGCCGAAAGGCGUAGUCGAUGGGAAACGGGUUAAUAUUCCCGUACUUGGUGUUACUGCGAAGGGGGGACGGAGAAGGCUAUGUUGGCCGGGCGACGGUUGUCCCGGUUUAAGCGUGUAGGCUGGUUUUCCAGGCAAAUCCGGAAAAUCAAGGCUGAGGCGUGAUGACGAGGCACUACGGUGCUGAAGCAACAAAUGCCCUGCUUCCAGGAAAAGCCUCUAAGCAUCAGGUAACAUCAAAUCGUACCCCAAACCGACACAGGUGGUCAGGUAGAGAAUACCAAGGCGCUUGAGAGAACUCGGGUGAAGGAACUAGGCAAAAUGGUGCCGUAACUUCGGGAGAAGGCACGCUGACACGUAGGUGAAGUGAUUUACUCACGGAGCUGAAGUCAGUCGAAGAUACCAGCUGGCUGCAACUGUUUAUUAAAAACACAGCACUGUGCAAACACGAAAGUGGACGUAUACGGUGUGACGCCUGCCCGGUGCCGGAAGGUUAAUUGAUGGGGUCAGCGCAAGCGAAGCUCCUGAUCGAAGCCCCGGUAAACGGCGGCCGUAACUAUAACGGUCCUAAGGUAGCGAAAUUCCUUGUCGGGUAAGUUCCGACCUGCACGAAUGGCGUAAUGAUGGCCAGGCUGUCUCCACCCGAGACUCAGUGAAAUUGAACUCGCUGUGAAGAUGCAGUGUACCCGCGGCAAGACGGAAAGACCCCGUGAACCUUUACUAUAGCUUGACACUGAACAUUGAGCCUUGAUGUGUAGGAUAGGUGGGAGGCUUUGAAGUGUGGACGCCAGUCUGCAUGGAGCCGACCUUGAAAUACCACCCUUUAAUGUUU
rnacentral:rRNA from 1 species